rnacentral:rRNA from 1 species
UACGUAGGAGGCGAGCGUUGUCCGGAGUUAUUGGGCGUAAAGAGCGUGUAGGCGGCCUGGUAGGUCAGCUGUGAAAACUCGAGGCUCAACCUCGAGACGUCGGUUGAAACCACCUGGCUAGAGUCCGGAAGAGGAGAGUGGAAUUCCCGGUGUAGCGGUGAAAUGCGCAGAUAUCGGGAGGAACACCAAUGGCGAAGGCAGCUCGCUGGGACGUUACUGACGCUGAGACGCGAAAGCGUGGGGAGCAAACAGG